rnacentral:rRNA from 1 species
GUGGGGAAUCUUGCGCAAUGGGCGAAAGCCUGACGCAGCCAUGCCGCGUGAAUGAUGAAGGUCUUAGGAUUGUAAAAUUCUUUCACCGGGGACGAUAAUGACGGUACCCGGAGAAGAAGCCCCGGCUAACUUCGUGCCAGCAGCCGCGGUAAUACGAAGGGGGCUAGCGUUGCUCGGAAUUACUGGGCGUAAAGGGCGCGUAGGCGGACAUUUUAGUUAGAGGUGAAAGCCCAGGGCUCAACCUUGGAAUUGCCUUUGAUACUGGCUGUCUUGAGUACGGGGGAGGUGGGUGGAACUCCGAGUGUAGAGGUGAAAUUCGUAGAUAUUCGGAAGAACACCAGUGGCGAAGGCGACUCACUGGCCCGUUACUGACGCUGAGGCGCGAAAGCGUGGGGAGCAAACAGGAUUAGAAACCCCUGUAGUCC